UUACCGCCACAAAAUAAUGGCCGUCGCGCGCAGUUCUUGCGUGUGAGUUAAUAGGGAAUAAGGUGAAAAUCCUUAACAGUACCCGCUGCUGUAAAUCCCGUCCCGGUUUUAAUCGGGACAGAACCUCGGCAACUUGAACCACUGCCCCGAUAAAUCGGGGUGGGAAGGUCGCCGAAGGUCGGGAUAAGUCAGAAGCCCUGCCGUUAUUAAAAUAGUUCA
rnacentral:ncRNA from 2 species